AGCGAAGCAGAGGAAGGGACGGAGAAAAACAGAGGAGAGGAUCAAUGGAGGAUCUGAAAGUAACAAUAUUAAUGGUGGCAGUUCAGGUGAAUGAAGUAGUGCUGAACACUCUGAUCAAAGCAGCCACCGACGAAGGGAUGAGCGACUAUGUUUUCGUUGUCUAUUCAAACGCCGUGGCUUUCUCUCUUCUUCUUCCAUCUUCCUUCUUUUAUUAUAGAAACCGACCUUCUCCCCCCAUCACCUUCUCAAUCAUCUGCAGAAUAUUUCUUCUCAGCUUGCUCAUUUGUGCAGCGCAGACAAUGGUAUAUGUCGGUAUUGGAUAUAGCUCUCCUGUUCUUUCUUCAGUCAUGGGUGACCUCUCCCCAGCUUUUACCUUCCUUCUUGCCAUCAUUUUCAGAUAUGAAAAAGUGGAGAUGAGGCAAGUGAGCAGUCAUGCAAAGUGUAUAGGGACAGUGUUGUCCACUACAGGAGCGUUAAUGGUGACCCUGUACCGAGGGGAGGCAAAUAGUGGAGAUUCCAAUCUGGAAGACGAUAAGGCAAUCGUCUUGCCACAAGAUGAGUGGCUUCUAGGGGGCGUUCUCCUUGCACUCGGCAGCUUUUGUCUUUCUGUCGUGUUUAACGUCAAGACAUGGAUAAUGAAGGAGUACCCUGAGGUUAUGAUGAUAGCAACCAUAUCAUGCGGCUUCGUGGCGAUGUUAUCCGCCAUGGUUUCUCUUAUUGCUGAGGGAGAUAAUGCUCAAGCAUGGACUCUUCGCGCUGAUAUGGAGUUGGCUGCUAUAUUAUACUCUGGGAUUAUUGUGGUAUCAAUGAGAAGCUUGACAAAUAUAUGGGCAUGCGGAAGGAAGGGACCCGUGUACGUGGCCAUGUUUACUCCUUUAGGAAUGGUCAUCGCACUGGCCAUGGGACUUGUGUUUCUCGGCGAAUCUCUCUCUCUUGGCAGCGUGAUAGGGGGUGGAGUGAUAACUAUUGGGUUUUAUGGCGUUUUAUGGGGUCAGGCUCAACAGGAAAAGAUGGCUUUCCAGACAACAGUAAUCUGUAGCUCUGUGUCUUCUUCUUCUAAUGCAGUGCCUCUUCUACAGAACCAGUGCGUGUGAAAGUGAAAUAUCAAUAUGAACUGUUAUUAUAUUUUUCAUCAUUAAUGGAGUUUACAUGAGGGGUAAUCAAACUGCAAUACGAACACGACAGUUAUAGAGCGCAGCGGUCGUCGUCUGAAU